UACGUAGGGUGCGAGCGUUGUCCGGAAUUAUUGGGCGUAAAGGGCUCGUAGGCGGUUUGUCGCGUCGGGAGUGAAAACCUUGGGCUUAACUCAGGGCUUGCUUUCGAUACGGGCAGACUAGAGGUAUGCAGGGGAGAACGGAAUUCCUGGUGUAGCGGUGAAAUGCGCAGAUAUCAGGAGGAACACCGGUGGCGAAGGCGGUUCUCUGGGCAUGAUCUGACGCCGAGGAGCGAAAGUGUGGGGAGCGAACAGG
rnacentral:rRNA from 1 species